rnacentral:rRNA from 1 species
CUCUUAUAGAUUUUAUAGAAUUUGGUUUUUAGGUGAAGAAACCUAAAUAUAAUUAAAAGACAAGAAGACCCUAUCGAGCUUAAAAUAAUUUUUUUGGUAUAAUGAUAACACCUUACUCAAAAAAAGAUUUUAGUUGGGGCGACUAAGGAACAGAAAAAGCUUCCUAUAAGCUAUAGUUACUAAUAAGUAUUGAUCCAAAAAAUUUGAUUAACAGAAUUAGUUACCGUAGGGAUAACAGCAUAAUCUUUUCUAAGAGUCCUUAUCGAAGAAAAGGUUUGUGACCUCGAUGUUGGACUAGGGUGCCCAGAUAGGUGCAGAAGCCUUCAAUGGUUGGUCUGUUCGACCA